rnacentral:lncRNA from 1 species
UGUGUGUGUGUAUGCCGUGUUAAAGUCAAAUGACCCUGUCGGCAACUUCUGUAACCCUGUCAAGUAAAGCAGUCACUCCCACCACUGCGGGGCAAGAAGAUGCACAUACAGGCUUGCUGUAUAACACCGCUGUGUGCUGCUGGCAACAGCCAGAUCCCUUCUUGCCCUAGACAACUUCAGCUCGUGAUAUCUCCCUCGGUCUGUGUUCUCCUGCUCUUGAAUACAUGAGGUGGAGGGACCGUGCUUGAGUUUCUCCUGCUAGCAUGAUACAGACAUCAUUUCUCUCUUGCUUUAAUCGUGAUGCUUGGGAGAUAAUAAAGGCUUUGGUUUCAGUGACCAUAAAACACGUGUGAGAUUGUGGUGCGCCCCCGGAGUCACCCUGUGCAUCCCACAAACAGACACAGCACAGGAUCCAUGCAGAUGGUAUUAAAAGAGUGUUGAGGGCAGGGGAGGUGGGUCGGUGGUUAAGAGCGUUGGCUGAUCUUGGCAGAAGGCUGGGGUUCCAUUCCCAGAGCCCACAUCGUGGCUCAGAACCAUUUGUAACUCUAGUUCCAGGUCUGACGUUCGUUUCUG